GAUGAUGAUGAGGUGCCCUGACUGUCCCAUACUGAUCCCACUCAACAGCACUAUUGGUCUCAAGUCUGUACAUGAUGCUGUGACAAAAUUCAACUAGAACUCUUCCAACACGCGCUACUACGUCCUGCAGGAAGUGGGACGGAUACAAUCUGGGUACAUGAUGAUGGCAGGGAUGGGCUACUGGGCUAAGUUUGUCCUUGUGGAGGAUCCUUGCCCAUGGGGAUCCAGAAUAGUUCCUGAGGCAUGCAAACCCCUCUGCCAUGACAGAGCUCAUCAUGCUUUCUGUUGUUCAUCUUUUACCACUCAAAAUGGACUGGGAUCUGUUGAGUGCAAGUUCUAUCCCCCAACG